rnacentral:rRNA from 1 species
UAGUCAAUGCUCGCAAGAGUGAACUAGCUAACUGAAAUCAUAGAGUUUCUUUAAACUCGUGAUGUCGUAAGGGAAAAUAAUGAUAAUACCUUACUAUGAGUGUCGUCCAAAUCUGGUGCCAGAAGACUCGGUAAGACCAGAGACGCAAACGUUAAUCAUCAUAAUCAGGCGUAAAGGGUUUGUAGGCAGCUUUCACCAGACUAUUCAAUAAAAUAAAUUAGUUUAAUUGAAAGCUAGAAUCAAAAAGAGGUUAUAGUGUAUAACGCCUAGAGGAGGGCUGAUAUCCAUAGAUCCUAGGCAGAAUACUAAAGGCGAAGGCCACUCUCCACUAAGAUUGACGCUGAGAAACGAAGGUUAGGAUAGGAAAUAGGAUUAGAUACCCCGGUACUCCUUUCUGUAAACGAUGAAUGGUAGUCAUUAGUUUGUUAAACUAGAGACGAAGUUAACACAAUAACCAUUCCGCCUUGUGAGUACUACUGCAAAGUAGAAAACAAAAAAAUUAGUCGGUCUCGAAGCAAACGGAGUGAAGCAUGUUAUUUAAU